AUGUGGCAGUUCAGGCUACAGCAACCAUCUUGGAGGAAAAACUCAAGAGACGGGCAGCAGCGCUGGCUCUGAAGUGUCUGGAUCACGAAACUAAUUCCAACAACCAACUACAUCACAUAGGAAGAUCAUUCAGUAGAGCAAGGCGUCAAAGACUCAAGGACACAAUUUCAAAAACAGAAUGGACACCCAAGGAGGAUAAGUGAAAAAUCCAAUUUUGGCCAUCACCAUGACAUCUCAUUAUUGUUCCCUUUUGGGAGCUAACUCAGCACACACUCACUUUAUCUGACUCGUGUCGCUUGGAAGGGCAAGAGUGCUUCAGGUAAGAAAAUAAAGAUGCUACUAAUAGGACCUGCCCAUGGAGGAGCAAGAUGCACUGCAGCCUCACCUGAUUUAUCUUCAGUAAUAGUUUCCAGGAGAAGAGAGACACAGUGAGAACGAAUUGCAUUCUAUGUAAUGUUUUGCUUCAAAGGAUGCUUUGGCUCAUUUUUCUGCUGCUUGUACAUGCUGCAAAUGAGAAAGUACCUGGCUGACAGUUUGCCUUCUGAUUUAUAGGAAAGGUCAUUUAAUCCCAAGUAAGCAUUUUGCUAAAUAGUAAGCUCUCCCAUCCUCCCCAACCCUUUCCCGAGUCCCUUUAUAUUUCUUGGUAUAACUUGAGUUUCUGGUCUGUACCUAUAGAAGGAGCAAAUGAAAUGUUCUUAUGACUAUAUUGCUCAAGGUGAUUUUUAGGUGUGAAUUUGCAAAAUAUUGAGUGGAGUAAUUUGAGUUUUACAUAUAUAUAUAUGACUUUCAUGAUUAGUUUGAAUAUAAAUAUGACACUAUAUACUUGUGAUACAUGUAGCUAGAAUAUUCAUGAAAUUAAUCAGUAAAUACUAUUUGUAUCAAUGAUAUUUUCAUACAAUAUUUAUGGCAUUACCAAAAACAAAAAAACUUAGACUCUGCAAAAUACAGCAUCAGGAAAAUAAAACCCGUUUUUCCUCACUUGCAAACUUCUGAGUUUUAGAAUAUUUUUAUAUAAUAUUGGUUCAAGUUAAAGAAAAACUGCCUAGAAUUAUAUUUUUCAAAGUAUAUCCCUUUAAAUGUAAAUAAUGACCUAUUUUUCUUCCAAGUACUUAAUGAUAUCAUUGCAAUUACCAGAGACCCCAAGGAUAGAAAAUAACAGUCUCAAAACAAUUAUCUCCCUUACAGGCAGAACAAAAAAAAAAAAAACUCACUACCAUCAGAGAUAUCAGAAAAUAAAUUAACAGAAACAGAGAUAUUUACAUAUCUUCAAUAAAAGUACAUCAUCAAGAAGUCAGAGCAUAAAUAAAGGCAGAGGAAAACCCUUGCACUUGCCCUCAAAACAAUGUGCUGAAGUGUCCAGAGCCUCAUACUCUCUAAUUCUUUCUAUAUUAAAAUGGUAUAUCACACCUGCCAAGAGACCAAGGUGAAAGCAGAAGGUCACUGGCGAUGUUUGCUGGUGUGUAAUUGUUUGCCGAGCAGCAAAGUUAUCAAAGAGCUGGUCCUGUGAUUGGGACCAGGUCUGGCUGGUUUCGUGGUCUGGCAUGGUGGUCCAGGAUGUGCACCUGUCACAAACACAGGUAGAGACACCAGCCCUGGCCCAGG
rnacentral:lncRNA from 10 species